rfam:Zootermopsis nevadensis contig15175, whole genome shotgun sequence.
GCCACGGUGGUCUAGCGGUUAGAACGCUGGCCUUGUAAUCCUGGGGUCUCGGGUUCGAUUCCCGGCGGUGCUC